rnacentral:rRNA from 1 species
UACGAAGGGGGCUAGCGUUGCUCGGAAUUACUGGGCGUAAAGGGCGCGUAGGCGGACAGCUAAGUCAGAGGUGAAAGCCCAGGGCUCAACCUUGGAACUGCCUUUGAUACUGGCUGUCUUGAGUUCGGGAGAGGUGUGUGGAACUCCGAGUGUAGAGGUGAAAUUCGUAGAUAUUCGGAAGAACACCAGUGGCGAAGGCGACACACUGGCCCGAUACUGACGCUGAGGCGCGAAAGCGUGGGGAGCAAACAGG